GAGGGGUGCAAGCGUUAUUCGGAUUCAUUGGGCGUAAAGGGUACGCAGGCGGUACAUUAAGUCAACUGUUAAAUUUUCCGGCCUAACCGGAAGCCAGCGGUAGAUACUGUCGUACUAGAGGAUGAGAGAGAGAAGUGGAAUUCCCGGAGUAGCGGUAAAAUGCAUGGAUCUCGGGAGGAACACCGAUGGCGAAGGCAGCUUCUUGGCUCAUUCCUGACGCUCAGGUACGAAAGCGUGGGGAGCAAACAGGAUUAGAUACCCUGGUAGUCCACGCUGUAAACGAUGAUCACUAGACGUCAGUUUCGUUUACGAGAUUGGUGUCGUAGCUAACGCGUUAAGUGAUCCGCCUGGGGACUACGGUCGCAAGGCUA
rnacentral:rRNA from 1 species